GAAAAUUGGUGAUAUGUGAUUGGUUAAAAGAUGCAUUCCACCUAAAUGAAAUAUUUAUACUUUACACAUACAUGAGUGUUGUAUAUUCACUUAACAUUUAUACUUAACAUUUAUCUAUUAAUUUGUAGUAAUUGAUACAUCUAAUUUAGAUAAAAAAUUUUCAAAAUCGAACAAUUCAAUUUCUUAUUUCUUUUUUUUUUUGUC
rnacentral:misc_RNA from 1 species